GGUAAAGCAGCUUAGUUCGGCAGAAGCAAAACGCACAGCGAAAAGUAUCCACAAAUUCGGUUUGCUCUGUUCAAGCAACGAGAUUUACGGAGGAGGAGAACAAGCUAGGUAAUUGAAUUCUAAAACUUUUCCAUGAUUGAUUGAAGAAAGUCGUACGGAUCGCUCGAGGUGACGAGUUUGGUAUUUCACACGAGUAAUAGAAAGCAAUUGAUGCAAGCGAGGAUUUUGUUAAUUAGAGCGCGCAGGUCGAUACUUUUUGAUGGCUAGGACACACACACCCUCAUCUGCUGGACGUGGUACUACCCAAGGUGGCGAUCAUGUUGGUGUUCAUCAAACUAGAUGACAGGCUACUCCUCAACCUGAAGUUGGUAACAUGGGUCAACCCCAAGCUACUAUGUCAGAUCAAGUGCAAGAACAGGGGGUUCAAGAUGCUCUAUCACUAGUGCCAACUGUUGUACCUACUGUUACCUUACAUGCAAAUGCAAUGGCAAGGUUAUUGAAUGUGUUAGAGGCAUUGGUGCCUACUCAAGGUGGAGGUUUAGCUCCUCAGGCUACUUUACAGACACAAGCACCUGCACAAAUUCAGACUUUCGGGAAUAAGGAGGUAUCCCUACAAGAGUUCUUGAAAUUGAAAUUACCAAAAUUCACAGAUUCUGAUAAUUCAGCAGAUCCUUAAAGUUUCUUGGAUGGGACACUCAAGACAUUACGUGCUCUAGGAUUUUUUAGUGAGAGAGCCAUGGAGCUCGUAGUAUACAAACUGGAGGAUAUGGCCAACAUAUGGUAUGAAACUGUAUUGCUAGGAAGGCCAACAGGAGCAGUACCACUGACAUGGAACGAGUUCAGUUAGUUGUUCAUGGAUCAUUUUCUUCCAGAUAACCUAAGGCAAAAAUAUGCUAGAGACUUUGAGAGAUUAGUUCAGACUCCAGAUAUGGAUGUGUCAACCUAUAACAUCAAGUUUUGUAAUCUGGUUAGAUAUGCUCCUUACUUAGUGCCUACCCAAGAAGCUCGAGUUUAGAGAUUUGUUGAUGGGUUGGUUGGUCGUCUAUAUACUGUAGUAGCCCCAUAGAUGAAGACUUUGUCCUACUCUAAUGUAGUCGAUCUCGCUAGAAAGAUUGAAAACAAGGGACGUGACGAGCGUGCAGCCAGUGAUUUACGUAAGAAGGCCAGGACAGGGCGAUCUUUCAGUGGCGGUUUUAGUGAAAAUUGCAGAGCAGGAAGUCAGGGACAUCAGUAAUAGGGUUCUUAGAUAGGGACACACUUGUCUUCACAGUCCACAUACAGGCCAUAUUAUAGACAGGCUACUAGGGGACCAUCAUCAUCUGGACAUCAUAAUUUUGGGUAGAUAUAUGCCACUACUCCAGUCUACCAGGCCUGUGGUAGAUCACAUUUGGGCCAGUGUAGUGUUCUAAUUGGAGAGUGCUUUCGGUGUGGCCAGUUGGUACAUCACUUGAGGGAUUACCCUUAGCCUCCGAGGGAUUUCGACUAGGCUUCUAUUCAGUCAACUGCACCCACUCAAACUACUCGUAAUACUUCAGGUGCUACAAGUACAGAAAAUAGAGGUCGAGGUGUUGGAGAUCGUGCUACUGUGAACCAAGGACAAGGGAAUGCUGGUAGAGGUCAGGCGAGAGUUUUUGCAUUUACUAGAUAGGAUGCUCAGGCCUCGAAUGUUGUGGUUACAGGUAUUCUUUCUAUCUGUUCAUUUGAUGCACUUGCGUUGAUUGAUCUGGGAUCUACUCACUCCUAUGUGUCCUCAUACUUUGCUUUGAGGUUUAGUAGACAACCUGAGUUAUUGAAUGAUCCCUUUCUAGUUGCUACUCCUGUUGGAGAGUCACUAUUAGCUGAAUACAUGUA